CACGGACCGCACGAACGUUAUUCGGUAUCACUGGGCUUAAAGGGUGCGUAGGCGGCUUGGCAAGUUGGGUGUGAAAGCCCUCGGCUCAACCGAGGAAUUGCGCUCAAAACUGCCGAGCUCGAGAGAGACAGAGGUAAGCGGAACUGAUGGUGGAGCGGUGAAAUGCGUUGAUAUCAUCAGGAACACCGGUGGCGAAGGCGGCUCUCUGGGACGGUACUGACGCUGAGACGCGAAAGCGUGGGGAGCGAACAGG
rnacentral:rRNA from 1 species